rnacentral:rRNA from 1 species
GUGUCAGCAGCCGCGGUAAUACGGAGGGCGCAAGCGUUGUUCGGAAUUACUGGGCGUAAAGCGCGUGUAGGCGGCCUGACAAGUCGGGUGUGAAAUCCCGGAGCUCAACUCCGGAACUGCAUCCGAUACUGUCAGGCUCGAGUCUCGGAGAGGAUGGCGGAAUUUCCGGUGUAGAGGUGAAAUUCGUAGAUAUCGGAAGGAACACCAGUGGCGAAGGCGGCCGUCUGGACGAUGACUGACGCUGAGACGCGAAAGCGUGGGGAGCAAACAGGAUUAGAAACCCUCGUAGUCC